AUGAACGCUGGCGGCGUGCCUCAUACAUGCAAGUCGAGCGCACGGACGAGAAGCUUGCUUUUCUGAUGUUAGCGGCGGACGGGUGAGUAACACGUGGAUAACCUACCUAUAAGACUGGGAUAACUUCGGGAAACCGGAGCUAAUACCGGAUAAUAUUUUGAACCGCAUGGUUCAAAAGUGAAAGACGGUCUUGCUGUCACUUAUAGAUGGAUCCGCGCUGCAUUAGCUAGUUGGUAAGGUAACGGCUUACCAAGGCAACGAUGCAUAGCCGACCUGAGAGGGUGAUCGGCCACACUGGAACUGAGACACGGUCCAGACUCCUACGGGAGGCAGCAGUAGGGAAUCUUCCGCAAUGGGCGAAAGCCUGACGGAGCAACGCCGCGUGAGUGAUGAAGGUCUUCGGAUCGUAAAACUCUGUUAUUAGGGAAGAACAUAUGUGUAAGUAACUGUGCACAUCUUGACGGUACCUAAUCAGAAAGCCACGGCUAACUACGUG
rnacentral:rRNA from 1 species